CCUUCGAUAGCUCAGUUGGUAGAGCGGUGGACUGUAGUAUGAGUAAAGGUAGAGAGACAUCCAUAGGUCGCUGGUUCGAAUCCGGCUCGAAGGA
rnacentral:tRNA from 1 species